GACAGAGGAUGCAAGCGUUAUCCGGAAUGAUUGGGCGUAAAGCGUCUGUAGGUGGCUUUUUAAGUCCGCCGUCAAAUCCCAGGGCUCAACCCUGGACAGGCGGUGGAAACUACCAAGCUGGAGUACGGUAGGGGCAGAGGGAAUUUCCGGUGGAGCGGUGAAAUGCGUAGAGAUCGGAAAGAACACCUGUGGCGAAAGCGGCUCACUGGACCAUUACUGACGCUGAUGCACGAAAGCUAGGGGAGCAAACAGG
rnacentral:rRNA from 1 species